rnacentral:rRNA from 1 species
UGAAUACGAGACGCUAAGGCGUCGAAGUAGUGUAUGUCAUACUUCCAAGAAAAGCUUGCACUGUCAUAGAUAAAAAACGCCUGUACCAUAACCGACACAGGUGGGUAGGUAGAGUAUACUAAGGGGCGCGAGAUAACUCUCUCUAAGGAACUCGGCAAAAUAACUCCGUAACUUCGGGAGAAGGAGUGCCUUAUUCUUAAGGUUGCAAUAACAAGAUCCAAGCAACUGUUUAUCAAAAACACAGGUCUCCGCUAAGUCGUAAGACGAUGUAUGGGGGCUGACGCCUGCCCAGUGCCAGAAGGUUAAAGAAGCUGGUUAGCAUUUGCGAAGCUAGUAACUGAAGCCCUGGUGAACAGCGGCCGUAACAAUAACGGUCCUAAGGUAGCGAAAUUCCUUGUCGGGUAAGUUCCGACCCGCACGAAAGGCGUAAUGAUUUGGAUACUGUCUCGGAGAGGGGCUCGGUGAAAUAGACUUGUCUGUGAAGAUGCGGACUACCUGCACCAGGACAGAAAGACCCUAUGAAGCUUUACUGUAACUUGAAAUUGAAAUUGGACUUUAUUCGCGCAGUAUAGGUGGGAGGCGUUGAUUAUAAUCUUGCGGGAUUAUUGGAGCCAUUAGUGAGAUCCCACUCUUGUAAUGUUAGAUUUCUAACUUUGAAUCAUUAUCUGGUCAAAGAACAGUUUCAGGCGGGCAGUUUGACUGGGGCGGUCGCCUCCCAAACGGUAACGGAGGCGUACAAAGGUUUCCUCUGAACGGUUAGAAAUCGUAUCUAGAGUGUAAAGGCAUAAGGAAGCUUGACUGUGAGACCUACAAGUCGAGCAGGGACGAAAGUCGGUCUUAGUGAUCUGACGGUACUGAGUGGAAAGGCCGUCACUCAACGGAUAAAAGUUACUCUAGGAUAACAGGCUGAUCUCCCCCAAGAGUUCACAUCGACGGGGAGGUUUGGCACCUCGAUGUCGGCUCAUCGCAUCCUGGGGCGGUAGUACGUCCCAAGGGUUGGGCUGUUCGCCCAUGAAAGCGGUACGCGAGCUGGGUUCAGAACGUCGUGAGACAGUUCGGUCCAUAUCCGGUGUAGGCGUUAGAAUAUUGAGAGGAGCCUUCUUUAGUACGAGAGGACCGAGAAGGACAUACCUCUGGUGUACCAGUUAUCGUGCCAACGGUAGACGCUGGGUAGCUAUGUAUGGAGUGGAUAACCGCUGAAAGCAUCUAAGUGGGAAGCCCACCUCAAGAUAAGUAUUCUCAUC